GGUGGCGUGUCCGAGCGGCCUAAGGAGCACGCCUCGAAAGCGUGUGUGGGUGAAAGCCCACCGUGGGUUCAAAUCCCACCGCCACCG
rfam:Phycicoccus sp. Root563 contig_1, whole genome shotgun sequence.